rnacentral:lncRNA from 1 species
CCUUAACCCAUCGGCCUGUCUCCAUUUAUUUCUCCAUAUAUAUACGGGACUCAUUUCAUAAUUAAGAUAAGUUCUCUAACCCGAACCAAACCCACUCUCCGGUUUCUUGCACUCUUUAUUUUUUUUAUUUUUUCGUCCGACAGUUGUUUUGACUGUCGGAGUGAUUGCCAGACUUUUUCUCGAGCUAUGGCCUUUGCCUCCUAACGGUGUGCUCCAUGUGCAAGUGUGAAGGGGAUGAGGUCGGAAUUUUAUUGGCGCAAUUUUUGUCAACGGAUUGGCCCCGUCUGUGAAAAUCGUUACGUUAACUAUGAUAUACCCUGUACAAAAGGCCACCGGGAAAGAGGGAUUUUCCAAACAAUUUCUCUACCAAAAUAGCAAAGACAUCAACCAAAAAUUCUAAGAAAAAAGGGCUACUGGAGUUGGAAUUCAAAACUAAGUAAUUUUUGAGGAUUUUUUUUUUUGACAUUCAUACCAAAGAAUCAGCCAUUGGAAGUAUGAACAACAGAGUUAUCAGCAAACUAAACCAGGCAAUUCUACCAUCUUUUUCAAAAAUGGCGGCAAUUACAAUCAAGUUUGUAAUAUUCAGGUUGGGGGGAAAUGGUUGGUGACCAAGAAUUAUAAAAAACCAAAAAUGAAACUUUAUCCUCAAAUUCCCUUCACAUAUUCUGCUUUAGCUGGUUACACAAAGGAUGGAGUUCAUUCACUUCAAACACAAAGACCCGUUUGUGAAGCUUUCAACACAUACAAACUUUACAACACUUUGGACAAGAUGGAGCUUUCUGCUUUUAGGUGUGGCUAAUAGCAUCUUCUACAUAGAGAAAUGAGGACUAAAUCUUAUGGGAAUAUUAUGUUGUAAAAGAGGAAGAGUUUAGGACGGGCGCAGCAACCUCCUGACCUUCAUAUCACCAACAACAUACAACCCCUGCAAGCAUCCAGCUAGUCUCGUUGGGCUGUCAAGCAGUUGUUGCACCACUUAUAUCUCCGGUACUCGUCAUUCAGGCAGCCACUUUCAUUCUCCAGCCUCGAGCAACACCAAUUGGCAUUCACCAUCUCCGGCGAAGACUGCUAAAGCUAUCGCUAGCUUUGGCAAAAAGUAGCACAACCGCAACCCACAUUAACUUCCGGUCUAUGGUCUAUUUGUGACUGGAUCUCAAUUUGCAUUAAUUUUGAUGGAGACUGGACAAUUAUGGUGGCGUGUUUGGAAGAAGAAGCAUUGUCCUGCAACUGUUGUUGUCUGAUAUAAUUGGUACGUUUCAAGUGGUGCAGGUUAGUUUGGGUUUCAUUGGAAUUGGGCAUGGGAUUUCUUGUUCUUGUUCUUCUUUUCUUUU